CAGCGUUUAAGGUACUCGGUAAC
rnacentral:piRNA from 1 species